UACGAAGGGUGCAAGCGUUGCUCGGAAUUAUUGGGCGUAAAGCGCACGUAGGCGGAUCGUUAAGUCGGGGGUGAAAUCCUGGAGCUCAACUCCAGAACUGCCUUCGAUACUGGCGAUCUUGAGUCCGGAAGAGGUGAGUGGAACUCCUAGUGUAGAGGUGGAAUUCGUAGAUAUUAGGAAGAACACCAGUGGCGAAGGCGGCUCACUGGUCCGGUACUGACGCUGAGGUGCGAAAGCGUGGGGAGCAAACAGG
rnacentral:rRNA from 1 species